rnacentral:rRNA from 1 species
CCUACGGGUGGCAGCAGUCGAGAAUCAUUCACAAUGGGGGAAACCCUGAUGGUGCGACGCCGCGUGGGGGAAUGAAGGUCUUCGGAUUGUAAACCCCUGUCAUGUGGGAGCAAAUUAAAAAGAUAGUACCACAAGAGGAAGAGACGGCUAACUCUGUGCCAGCAGCCGCGGUAAUACAGAGGUCUCAAGCGUUGUUCGGAAUCACUGGGCGUAAAGGGUGCGUAGGCUGUUUCGUAAGUCGGUUGUGAAUCGGGAGGGCUCAACCCGCGGACGGCACAUGAUACUGCGAGACUAGAGUGAUGGAGGGGGAAUCGGAAUUCUCGGUGUAGCAGUGAAAUGCGUAGAUAUCGAGAGGAACACUCGUGGCGAAGGCGGGUUCCUGGACAUUAACUGACGCUGAGGCACGAAGGCCAGGGGAGCGAAAGGGAUUAGAUACCCCUGUAGUC